rnacentral:rRNA from 1 species
UACGUAGGGUGCAAGCGUUAAUCGGAAUUACUGGGCGUAAAGGGUGCGUAGGCGGUUUGUUAAGUCUGUCGUGAAAUCCCCGGGCUCAACCUGGGAAUGGCGAUGGAUACUGGCAAGCUAGAGUGUGUCAGAGGAUGGUGGAAUUUCCGGUGUAGCAGUGAAAUGCGUAGAGAUCGGGAGGAACACCAGUUGCGAAGGCGGCUCUCUGGACCAGCACUGACACUGAGGCACGAAAGCGUGGGGAGCAAACAGG